rnacentral:rRNA from 1 species
GAUGAACGCUAGCUACAGGCCUAACACAUGCAAGUCGAGGGACCGGCGCACGGGUGAGUAACACGUACCCAACCUGCCCUUUCCCCGGGGAUAGCCUUUCGACUGAAAGAUUAAUACCCGAUCCAAAGGAUGGGGAUGCGUUCCAUUAGGUGGUUGGUAAGGUAAAGGCUCACCAAGCCUUCGAUGGAUAGGGGUUGUGAGAGGAAGGCCCCCCAGAAUGGAACUGAGGCCCGGUCCAAACUGCGACGAGGGGCAGGAGAAAGGAAUAUUGGGGAAGGGGCGCUAACCUGAACCAGCCGAGUAGCGUAAAGAGUGAAGCGUUAGUGGUCGUAAACUUUUAGUAUAGAAGAAUAUGUAUUAUAUGAAUAAGGAUCGGAUAACUCCGUGCCAGCCGCCGCGGUAAUAC